rnacentral:lncRNA from 1 species
GGUCAUGAGCACCGUGUCGCAUUUCGGGUACUAGAUUUGGGGCUUUACAAACUUAGAAUCAGAGCCUAAGGUUCAAUAGAGUCCUAGGAAGUCUGAAAGCUGUAUCUAGUAGAGUCUUGUACAUGGGUGUGUUGCAUGCCAUAUUUAUAUGCAGGAGGCUAUUAGAUGUUUUAGAAACAGUUUUCCUUCUUUCAGUAUUCAUGUCAUGCCAGUGA